GUGAGGAGCAGAGUGGAACGGCGGAGAAGUGAGGUCGGGAAAAGCUGAAAAUAUACUGUAAGAACCAAUGUUUUAGUAGUCGCUUCAUCGCUUUGGUUUGCUACUAACGUCAUUACUGAAGACAAGUGGCUAAAACAAGCUCUGGAGCUGUUUUGUCGACCACGAGUGAGGCUGGACGCCGAGCUCCUGGGGCACGAAGGUUUACUGGUUCAGCUGCUGCAGCCUGGACAGAAACACCAGCUCUCACCUAACAAACCAAACAGGUGUCACCAUCACAGAGAGUCUUUGUGCAAUGAAGAAGUUCUUUCAAACCAGGACUGAGGCCUCCAGGUAAUUCACAAGCAGC